rnacentral:rRNA from 1 species
AGUUUGAUCCUGGCUCAGGAUGAACGCUGGCGGCAUGCCUAAUACAUGCAAGUCGAACGAGAGACCUUCGGGUCUCUAGUGGCGAACGGGUGAGUAACACGUAGGGAACCUGCCCGCGCACCGGGAAUACGCUCUGGAAACGGAGAACAAAUCCCGAUGUACAGGAAGGAGGCAUCUUCUUUCUGUGAAACAUCCUUUAGGGGAUGGGGCGCGGAUGGACCUGCGGUGCAUUAGUUGGUUGGCGGGGUAAAGGCCCACCAAGACGAUGAUGCAUAGCCGGCCUGAGAGGGCGGACGGCCACAUUGGGACUGAGACACGGCCCAGACUCCUGCGGGAGGCAGCAGUAGGGAAUUUUCGUCAAUGGGCGCAAGCCUGAACGAGCGAUGCCGCGUGAGUGAAGAAGGCCUUCGGGUCGUAAAGCUCUGUUGCGGGGGAAAAAAGGCAGCAUCAGGAAAUGGGUGCUGACUGAUGGUGCCCCGCCAGAAAGUCACGGCUAACUACGUGCCAGCAGCCGCGGUAAUACGUAGGUGGCGAGCGUUAUCCGGAAUGAUUGGGCGUAAAGGGUGCGCAGGCGGUCCUGCAAGUCUGGAGUGGAACGCAUGAGCUCAACUCAUGCAUGGCUUUGGAAACUGGAGGACUGGAGAGCAGGAGAGGGCGGUGGAACUCCAUGUGUAGCGGUAAAAUGCGUAGAUAUAUGGGAAGACACCCAGUGGCGAAAGCGGCCGCCUGGGCUGUUGCUGACGCUGAGGCACGAAAGCGUGGGGAGCCAAUAGGGAUUAGAUACCUAGUAGUCCACGCCGUAACGAGGAGGA